GCCGCAUCUGUGGCAUAUGGAAGUUCCCAGGCUAAGGUUCAAAUAUGAACUGCAGCUGAGACCUCUGCCACAGCCACAGCAACACCAUAUCCAAGUCGCAUGUGUGACCUAUGCCACAGCUUGUGACAACACCAGAUCCUUAACCCACUGAUCGAUGCCAGGGAUUGAACCCUCAUCCUCACGGACACUAUAUUGGGAUCUUAAUCCAUUGAGUCACAAUAGGAACUCUGACCCCAUGGAAUUUUCUUGUUGUUGUUGUUUUUCAAAGACAAUUGCUUCUUCCUGGAUUGGUAUUGUGUGAGAGGGGUUCAGGGCUAAAAUGAAUAGAUCUCUAACCAAAGAUCUUAAUAGGGAUAAAAAUUACUUUUGACAAAUCCCACUCUAAAUCAUUGUAGUGGGCAACUCUGAGCACCAAAAACGAACAAGAGUUACAAUGUCUGAGGGCUUUGUCUCCUUUGUCAACAAGAAUAUGUGGUUUAGAGGUACAAGCCACCAACCAGUGACCCCCUGGAAGGCCACCACCAAGAGAGCUGCUUCCUGACUCCAGUUCUGGGUGACCCUGUCUGUGGCUUGCUGAGGAGUCUACUGAUGUUCUACCCUAACUCCCACCCUUGCUGCUGUUAUUCCCCUGAGUAACAGAACCCUGAGUUUAUUUCAGGCAACAGUGUACCCAACUAAACAGGUCCCAGCCUUCCUUCCAGCUAAGUGUGGCCAUGUGGUUAGAGUCUGCCCAAUGAGGUAUAAGCUGAGAAGUUGUCAGUGGAUUCCAGAAAGUCUCAUUAAAAGGGAGGGGACCCUUUUACCUCUUUUCACUGCUCCUUCCUGUUGCCUGGAAUGAGGUGAUGGUUGCUGAGCUCAAGCAGCCAUCUUGGACUUAGAUGAUGCGAGGAGGAAAGCUUCCUGGUGGCAGAGUUCCCACUGGGGCUCAGCAGGUUCAAAACCCAAUGUAGUCUCUGUAAGGAUGCGGCUUCGAUGCCUGGCCUCACUCAGUGGGUUAAGGAUCUAGUGUUGCCACAAGCUGUAGCAUAGCUUGCAGAUGUGGCUUGAAUCUGAUAUUGCUGUGGCUGUAGCGCAGGCUGGCAGCUGCAGCUCUGAUUUGACCCCUAGCCCAGGAACUUCCAUAUGCUGCAGGUGCAGCUGUAAAAAGAAAAAAAAAAACAACCCCAAAAAACAAAAAACUUCUUGCUACUCUUUAAGGGUCUUUGUCAUCGUCAGCAGAUGCAGUUUCUAACUGAUAUGUGGAAGCUCACUGGGCCUCAUUUUGUGGAAGGGCAAAGGUGUCCACAGUUCCUCUAAGCCAACUGCUACUUCUGCUCUCUCUGGAAGAAUCAUCCUGCCCAAGAGGGCCCAAUUCUUUCACAACUUUC
rnacentral:lncRNA from 1 species